rnacentral:lncRNA from 1 species
UUCCUAGCCCCUCUGAGGAGCACAGGCCAGGGUGACUCUCUCCCCCAGGCAGGUGGGCCUCCGACGAGCCAUCCCUUAGAUGCAUCCUCCCGGGCCCUCUCAGCACCGGCCUUCUGAGGUCCAAGGAGCUCUGGGUGUCCCACUCGGCCCCUGGGCAGCCUCCACACCCUCUGUGGCCCUGACCAGGCCUUGGCCUUUAUCCCAUUGGCCAAUAUCCUCUGCCAACAGGUGUCUGAGAUUCCUGACAGGUGCAUUUUCCUCUCAUGGUCAAAAGGACUAGGGACGACUGGCCAUGGCCACCAGGAAGUUUGGCCAGGUCCUGUGUGAAGGAAGACUUGCCCCAUGCGCUCAGGGGCCCUGAAGACAGAGAAAGUUUGGAGAGGGGCCCGUACCUGUUCUGGGAAAUGUCAGGCCCUUCCCAGAACUGAUUCCCUGAGCCCCUGCUACUUAGUUUCCUAUCAAGGGGCCAGAGCAUGUGUUAGCCCUGAGGACCAGAGGACUACUUUUCCCCCAGGGAUCGUCCGUGGCUGUGGCCACACUGGCCUUACCCUCAGCACAACUCUGACGACCACGGUCCCAAAGGCUACCCUUUCUCUUGCCUUCUUCCGCCUGGCCAGGACCCCAUGGUCGUGCUAGAGGAGGUUCAGCCACGGUUCUCCAUUUCCUCAGAUACAUCUGCCUGACAGGCAGUGCUGUCCCCUCACCCUCCGAUGGAACCCAUGGAUACAGAUGUCCCCCUGGCUUCCGCUGUCCCCCAGGGGCCCACAGCGAGCUGCCCUGUGAGCCUGGCACCUUCAGCCCCUUACCUGGGGCUGACACCUGCCUGACCUGCCCAGGGGGCACCUACUGCCAAAAGGCUGCCACCGUAGAACCCACCACCUGCCCCAAAGGUUACUACUGCCCGGCGGGGACGCCCUCCGCUCUUCCCUGCCCAGAGGGAACCCUGAACCCGCGAGAAGGCGCUGUCUCCCCCAGGGCCUGCCAGCCCUGCCUUGCAGGGAGGUAUUGCCCUGGGGAGGGCAACGGGAAGCCUGAGGGCCCCUGCUCGGCUGGUUACUACUGUGAGGGGGGCGCUGCCAGCCCCACUCCCUGGAGAGACUCUGCCUUCCCCCUCAACGGACCCUGCCCCCACGGCCACUACUGCCCACAGGGGACUCUCCACCCCGUGCCCUGCCCCGUGGGGACAACGAGGAGCACCCCAGGUGAGCACCUGCCCUGUGUCUCCCCCGCCCCUCACGGCUGCGGGCCCCUCCUCCUUCCCCUGUGGAGUGGAUACAAACAGCACAAUAGGAGCAGGGGUGGUCAGGGUCUCUGGUGCUCCCACUGGGGUGGACAGGAAGCCGGGCGAUAGGCUUGUGCCAUGGUGUGGAUGUGAGGGCUUCCCACACGCAGAACAGGGCCCACUCCUCCACCCCAUAGGCUGGGCUCUGCCCGCAAAACGCAGGCUGUGCCCUUGGCCAACGCAUGGCAGACGGGCCCUGCAGGAGGCCGUGGCCAGCGGCUGCUUCAUUCAACACACAUUCUGCCGGGCUGCACACUAGCACCGAGGUACAGCAGCGAGACAAGCAGUGAAAGGCCCCUGUCCUCAGAGGUUGAUAUUCCAAUAUGGGGACACAGAGCCCAUGCACUUUGAUCCCCCCUAUCCAGGUGGCAUCUCUGAGGGGAGCUGCAGGCCCUGCCCAGCUGGCUUCUUCUGCCCCAGCCUGGGUCUCAGCUCUCUUACCGGU